rnacentral:rRNA from 1 species
AACGAACGCUGGCGGCAUGCCUAACACAUGCAAGUCGAACGCCCUGCAAGGGGAGUGGCGAACGGGUGAGUAACGCGUGGGAACAUACCCUUCGGUUCGGAAUAACUCAGGGAAACUUGGGCUAAUACCGGAUACGUCCGUGAGGAGAAAGAUUUAUCGCCGAAGGAUUGGCCCGCGUAAGACUAGCUAGUUGGUGAGGUAACGGCUCACCAAGGCUAUGAUCUUUAGCUGGUCUGAGAGGACGAUCAGCCACACUGGGACUGAGACACGGCCCAGACUCCUACGGGAGGCAGCAGUGGGGAAUAUUGGACAAUGGGCGCAAGCCUGAUCCAGCCAUGCCGCGUGAGUGAUGAAGGCCUUAGGGUUGUAAAGCACUUUCGGCAGGGACAAACAAACGGAGCUAACAUCUCCGUUCCUCGAUGGUACCUGAAGAAGAAGCACCGGCUAACUCUGUGCCAGCCGCCGCCGUAAU